rnacentral:tRNA from 1 species
UACAUUUUAAUAUAUGAAGUAUAAAAAUUUUUGAUGUUUUUUGAAAUAGUUUGAUUCUAUUAAAUGUAU